rnacentral:tRNA from 1 species
GAGGGCAUAGCUCAGUGCUAGAGCGCAUGCUUAGCAUGCGUGAGGUCCUGGGUUCGAUCCCCAGUACCUCCU